rnacentral:rRNA from 1 species
UGGGGGAUAUUGCACAAUGGGCGAAAGCCUGAUGCAGCGACGCCGCGUGAGGGAUGAAGGCUUUCGGGUUGUAAACCUCUUUCGCUAUCGAACAAGGCCCGCUUAGGGUGGGUUGAGGGUAGGUGGAGAAGAAGCGCCGGCUAACUACGUGCCAGCAGCCGCGGUAAUACGUAGGGCGCGAGCGUUGUCCGGAAUUAUUGGGCGUAAAGGGCUUGUAGGCGGCUUGUUGCGCCUGCUGUGAAAACGCGGGGCUUAACUUCGCGCGUGCAGUGGGUACGGGCAGGCUUGAGUGUGGUAGGGGUGACUGGAAUUCCAGGUGUAGCGGUGGAAUGCGCAGAUAUCUGGAGGAACACCGAUGGCGAAGGCAGGUCACUGGGCCAUUACUGACGCUGAGGAGCGAAAGCAUGGGUAGCGAACAGG